GCCGGGGCGUCCCCCGCGGGAGCCCGCAGCCACCCGGGACGCGCAUCCAGACGUGGCGCUUCGGACCGGGCACGCUGCGCCCGGGGGCUCGGCGGACCCCGCGUAGCCGCCGCUUCGGAGCUUGUGCGGCGCGGGCUGGCCAGCGGGGCGGCCAGGGCCCGGCCCGCCUCCCCAGCGCCCGCCCGGCUUCUCCCCCUGGCGGUGGGAGCCUCGGCGGCCGCUGGCGACACUAGGCGCACUGAAGCCCGAGCCGAGCCGAGCCCGAGCCGCCGCCGCCGCCGCCGCUGCUGCGCACCGCUCCCGGGCUCCCUCCCAGCGCGCCGGCCGGGGUGUGGGGGGCGGCGGGCCGGAGGGGCGAGGGCGGGCCAGGGGGCGCACACGGGGGUUGGCGCGGAAGACAGGACCCUCAGCCUCGAGGGAGCCCCUAGGUGACCAGGCAAAAUGGCAGUUCCUUCCAGCUGGUCCUCAGAUGGGCACAUCUAUUAGCCUCUGCUCUUGUAAGAAGUUAGCUGCAGAACCCACAUGUGAAUCCUUGUAGGACUCUGGAGAAGAUCAAAUGGGAGCUUAGAUGUGGAAGCUCUUUGGAAACCAAGAAACACUCUGAAAAUGAAAAGGGUGGAAGAGUAAACUGUUCCUGUUUCUCCAUCUUGACAGGAAGCAGAAGUUCUCCUUAGCUGAUUUUUCUUCUUGCCUUAUACUGGGUUCUUUAACACCAGAACAAAAAUAAAUAAAUAAAAGAAUCUUCCAGAAAUUCAUGAAGAGACUUCAGGUCAGGAAAGCCUGAACUUUCUCAUCCAACACCCGUUCAAGUCGGAGGAUGCUGAUUAAUUCAUGAUGGAAAGGUAUCAAUUUCACAGCCCAGACCUCUACAUUCUUGAAAUGCUCUUCUCAUGGGAGACAUUAAAUAAGCUUUGAAUUAACUUAAGCCCUUAAGUAAAAGUGCCAUCAAAUGAUUUCUCAGAAAUUAUAAAGAAACAAAAGGACCAUAAACAAGAUAAGGUGGCAUGAGGAAACAUUACAAGUACCUUUCAGAGCUGACUGGCAAAGAAACUCCUGAGGUGACGGUUCUACCCCAAUAUUACUUCUUCGAAGAGCAACCUAACUGGACUUAUCUUCCUCAGUUCUCUGUGAUGAACUUUUGUAGAGCCAUACGAAAGGAGGUUUUUAGCUCUCACCUGUGGUCUUUCUUCAUCAUGCACCUCCUAGAUUCAAAAGUUCAGCAGGGACAUGUCAAGCUAUAUAAAUAAAAACAAACUAAGAAAAAAUGUAACAUUCCAUACCUUAAAACGCAACCUUAAUAACGUGAAAGACCCUGAAGGACUUGAGACGUGAAGAUUUUCUACCACGGUCUUUGCCUGUAUUAUUUCUGACAGCUGUUCCUUUCUACUCCCUCUUGCACACAUCUUUAGUUACUCCCUGUUCUCCAUCCCUCUGAUAAAAUCUAGAGUUCCCCCCUCAAAUUAGAAAAUUAAAAAAAAUUAAAAAUCUAAAAUUAAAAUUUAAAAAAUUUUUAAAAAUCUAGAGUUUAAAAAAAAUGUUCUAUCUCAGGCUUGUGAACCAUAUUGUUAGUUCACAAUUAAGAAUGAUGUACAUCUAUUGGACAAGUUUUAAUUAAUUCUUUCCCUUGGCUGAUUAGUAAAUUUCUGCAGUGAGUACAAAUGUU
rnacentral:lncRNA from 1 species